rnacentral:rRNA from 1 species
UACGUAGGGGCAAGCGUUGUCCGGAAUUAUUGGGCGUAAAGCGCGCGCAGGCGGUCCUUUAAGUCUGAUGUGAAAGCCCACGGCUUAACCGUGGAGGGUCAUUGGAAACUGGUCGACUUGAGUGCAGAAGAGGGAAGUGGAAUUCCAUGUGUAGCGGUGAAAUGCGUAGAGAUAUGGAGGAACACCAGUGGCGAAGGCGGCUUCCUGGUCUGUAACUGACACUGAGGCGCGAAAGCGUGGGGAGCAAACAGGAUUAGAUACCCUGGUA